rnacentral:rRNA from 1 species
GAUGAACGCUAGCGGCAGGCCUAAUACAUGCAAGUCGGACGGGAUUGUGGAGCUUGCUUCACAUGAGAGUGGCGCACGGGUGCGUAACACGUAUGUAACCUACCCUUGUCAGGGGGAUAGCCUCUCGAAAGAGAGAUUAAGACCGCAUAACAUUGUUUUGUGGCAUCACAGAACAAUCAAAUAUUUAUAGGACAAGGAUGGGCAUGCGGAACAUUAGCUAGUUGGUAAGGUAACGGCUUACCAAGGCUACGAUGUUUAGGGGAUCUGAGAGGAGGGCCCCCCACACUGGUACUGAGACACGGACCAGACUCCUACGGGAGGCAGCAGUAAGGAAUAUUGGUCGAUGGGCGGAAGCCUGAACCAGCCAUGCCGCGUGCAGGAAGACGGCCCUACGGGUUGUAAACUGCUUUUACAGGGGAAUAAACCUCGGUACGUGUACCGAGCUGAAUGUACUCUGAGAAUAAGGAUCGGCUAACUCCGUGCCAGCAGCCGCUGUAA